GACGAACGCUGGCGGCGUGCCUAAUACAUGCAAGUCGAACGCAGUUGGGACGGGUGAGUAACACGUGGGUAACCUCCCAUCAGAGGGGAUAACACUUGGAUACAGGUGCUAAACCUAUACUGAUGGAUGGAUCCGCGGUGCAUUAGCUAGUUGGUAGGGUAACGGCUCACCAAGGCGACGCUGCAUAGCCGACUUGAGAGGGUGAGCGGCCACCGUGGGACUGAGACACGGCCCAGACUCCUACGGGAGGCAGCAGUAGGGAAUCUUCGGCAAUGGACGAAAGUCUGAUCGAGCAACGCCGCGUGAGUGAAGAAGGUUUUCGGAUCGUAAAGCUCUGUUGUUAGAGAAGCGGUAUCUAACCAGAAAGCCACGGCUAACUACGUGCCAGCAGCCGCGGUAAUUC
rnacentral:rRNA from 1 species